rnacentral:rRNA from 1 species
GACGAACGCUGGCGGCGUGCUUAACACAUGCAAGUCGAACGGUGAAGCGCCUUCCUUUUUGGUGGGUGUGGAUGAGUGGCGAACGGGUGAGAAACACGUGAGUAACCUGCCCCCUUCUUCUGGAUAACCGCAUGAAAGUGUGGCUAAUACGGGAUAUUCUGGGUCUGUCGCAUGAUGGGUCUGGGAAAGAUAUUGUUUCGGUGGGGGAUGGGCUCGCGGCCUAUCAGCUUGUUGGUGGGGUGAUGGCCUACCAAGGCGGUGACGGGUAGCCGGCCUGAGAGGGUGGACGGUCACACUGGGACUGAGACACGGCCCAGACUCCUACGGGAGGCAGCAGUGGGGAAUAUUGCACAAUGGGCGCAAGCCUGAUGCAGCGACGCCGCGGGAGGGAUGGAGGCCUGCGGGUUGUGAACCUCUUUCGCCAGUGAAGCAGGCCUGCCUCGUUUGUGGGUGGGUUGACGGUAGCUGGAGAAGAAGCGCCGGCUAACUACGUG